rnacentral:rRNA from 1 species
UACGUAUGGUGCAAGCGUUAUCCGGAUUUACUGGGUGUAAAGGGAGCGUAGGCGGCGCGUUAAGUCUGAUGUGAAAACCCGAGGCUCAACCACGGGAGUGCAUUGGAAACUGGCGGGCUGGAGCGCCGGAGAGGUAAGCGGAAUUCCUAGUGUAGCGGUGAAAUGCGUAGAUAUUAGGAGGAACACCAGUGGCGAAGGCGGCUUACUGGACGGCAACUGACGCUGAGGCUCGAAAGCGUGGGGAGCAAACAGG